UGUUGAUAUUCGAUUUCCCUAAUUCUCCCAUGAAACCAACAUGAUUAUAAUAUAUAUGAUAGAAAACUAAACAAAAAUUAUACCUUUAAGUUAUUAGUUCACUUCAAAAAAGAAAAAAACAAGUUUCUGUUCAAAGGAGCUGGCUUUGCCCAAUUCCAAAUAGAAAGCAGAGAUUUGAUCCUGCCUUGGGUCAGGACUCGGGGCCAAUGAGAUUGGGAAGUUUUCUUUGUUUGAUUAGCAGGCUUGCUUUUGCGCUUGGGUGGGAUUCUGUAGAAUUAAGGAGUGGAGGCCAUUAGUAAGGUGGGGGAUAGCAGGGUUUUUGUUUUAGCUUCCAAAGCUAUUGGAGUUUUGGAAUAAGCAAAAAUGGCUGCUGAGUUGUCAACUGUGUAUUCGUUGGAUCAGAUUCUGCAUGAUAUCCGUUAUGCGGUGACUAAGUUGUAGGUGUUCUUAAUGUUAUUGAUUUGGAUCUAUCCAAUGGCAUCUUUUUCUGGUCUGGUUGGAGGUCAAACUCUCAUGAUGUUGACUUCAGCUAUCCGGCAUUAUUUAGAUGUUGUACAAACCUUUAUGUGCCAAUGGGACCGCACAUGUAGCCAUCUGGGGCUUUUUUUUGAGUUCAGUAGAUGCAGCUGAAGACACAGAGUCAAUGCUAUCCUUAAGGAGUUAAGGAUUGAGCUACCAAAAGGGUUUAUGGAAAAGAAUAAAGAUAAUUCCCUUUCCAUUCUACUCAGAUAUAUUGAUUAAAAUCUUGUCACAGAAUGCUGUUGAGAGGUUUUCCCAAAACAACCUGAACUGAUUGAGAAGUAUUUCUCUGAUGCUGUUGACUGGAUGGAGAUGUUAUUCUCAUGUUGGGUAGAUUGGCGAAAUAUGCUGCUGCACUUGUUAUGGCUUUUAAGCUGGUGAUCCACUGAUCUAAGUUUCAGGAAAGAGGCCAUGCCACAACAUGUCAGUCAAGAAAGCUGCUCUUUCCUUUUGUAGCAGCACCAAGGCUACAAUGUGUUGUUGGGUCCUGAAAUGAACUUCUGAGAUCGUGGUAUUGAUUUUUUGUUUGCUAUGAUGCUUUGCCAAUACUCAAAUUGCUGCAAGGCAGAGGCUAUAUCACUGGCCAACAAUGUGUUCCUUGGCUUAAAUGCUUUAACAAAUCCCUAUCUUCAAAGUAUUCAAAAGGCUUUCUAAUGGAUAAGAUUCCAGAUUUUUCUGACAUCUGGAAUUGCUCAUUUUCUCAAGCUAAAAGGCAUUCCAGUCCACUGGAAUAAGCAUUGAAGAUUCAUGUACAAUGGCCAGUCCUUUGACAUUGUUGCUAGUGGGCAGAUCAAUUUGAUGAUAAUGGCAAUCUCUGGUGAUGCACUUGGUCAGAUUGAUUGCCAACAAUUAAAGAGAAUGGCACUUGCUCUCAAGUUUCCUUUGAUGAAAACAGUUAAUAUAGCUUUGGCCAGUUCAGAGGUAAGUAGGAGCUUGAAGUCAUACACCAUUUACAUGUUUACUCUUCAGGACUUUCAUUUUCAUUGCCAUUUGAACAGCUUGAUAAUAGGUUUGCUUUUGAGCCCUUUACUCUUAACCUAGCUCUAUCUCUAGCCCUGCCCUAUGAAAAGAAAAGGAUAACCUAGUUCAUUCAUAACCUACUUUUUUUUUAAGUAUCUUCCACUGAAAUACAUAUCUCUAGUUAGACAUCUUUGAUGAUGAGUUCAAGGCAGGGAGGAGCAAAAGCUUGCUGUGUGCCACUUCCUCUCCAUGGAUUGAUAGGUAUUUCUGAUAAGCAAUUUAUAUUUUCCUCCUCCUUUUGAUGUUUCUUGAACAUGUUUUCAUUAGCCUUGCCAAAUAAUUUUGUACUGAGUUUUUCCUUUCUCACUUUCUUGCUCUUUAAUCAUUUCUUCUCUUGUGUGAGCUGAUGUGACAAAUUUUGGAAUGUAAUGUAGGUAAUUUUUAAGAACUAAGAAAUAUAGUUAACAAUCAAAUACCUGUGUAACAUGAUAUGUUGCAAUUAUGAGGUGAUUG